rnacentral:snRNA from 1 species
GUGUAAUUCUAAUUACUCUCAGGGCCUUGAACAAGACCCAGUGAACAAUUUUUGGAGACUCUCAGGAAUAGGGUG